rnacentral:misc_RNA from 1 species
AAAUGAGUUGGUCAAAAGCAGACUAGAUUGAUGAAUCAUAUUAGCUUCACUUUAAUCUGCAUAUACCUUAUAUCAUGCAGUUGGAGCCUAUAGAAUGAGAGCAAAAAUUAGUAAGCAGAUGUGUUUGUUUUUCAUUUCCUUUCCUCAGGUCUUGCUUUGUGAUGUAAUAGUCCUGAGUCAGCGUAGUUCUCGUAUCAUGUUGAACUUUUUGUCGGUAUGAUGGUGGGUUUU